AUUUCUCUGCAUUUUAGCUAGUUUUGAGUGUAGUAUUUAUUCUAAUCAAUUUGAUAUCUGAUUUGUUCUCUUAAGGAGAGCGUUAUAUCAAGCAGAUUUUUUUAGAACAAGGAGUUGGGAUAGGGGUUUGCUCUUUCGGCUCCAUGUACUAACCUGAUGUUGUAGUACCUCAAUCUUUGUUCUAGGAAA